GGGCUUGACAUCCCACGAACCUGCCGAAAGGCAGGAGUGCCCGCAAGGGAGCGCGGAGACAGGUGGUGCAUGGCUGUCGUCAGCUCGUGUCGUGAGAUGUUGGGUUAAGUCCCGCAACGAGCGCAACCCUUGUCAUUAAUUGCCAUCAUUUGGUUGGGCACUUUAAUGAGACUGCCGGUGACAAACCGGAGGAAGGUGGGGAUGACGUCAAGUCCUCAUGGCCCUUAUGGGUAGGGCUUCACACGUCAUACAAUGGUCGGUACAGAGGGUUGCCAAGCCGCGAGGUGGAGCCAAUCCCAGAAAGCCGAUCGUAGUCCGGAUCGGAGUCUGCAACUCGACUCCGUGAAGUCGGAAUCGCUAGUAAUCGCGGAUCAGCAUGUCGCGGUGAAUACGUUCCCGGGUCUUGUACACACCGCCCGUCACACCACGAAAGCCAGCUGUACUCGAAGUCGCUGAG
rnacentral:rRNA from 1 species